rnacentral:rRNA from 1 species
GAUGAACGCUGGCGGCGUGCCUAAUACAUGCAAGUCGAGCGAACGGACGAGAAGCUUGCUUCUCUGAUGUUAGCGGCGGACGGGUGAGUAACACGUGGAUAACCUACCUAUAAGACUGGGAUAACUUCGGGACACCGGAGCUAAUACCGGAUAAUAUUUUGAACCGCAUGGUUCAAAAGUGAAAGACGGUCUUGCUGUCACUUAUAGAUGGAUCCGCGCUGCAUUAGCUAGUUGGUAAGGUAACGGCUUACCAAGGCAACGAUGCAUAGCCGACCUGAGAGGGUGAUAGGCCACACGGGAACUGAGACACGGUCCAGACUCCUACGGGAGGCAGCAGUAGGGAAUCUUCCGCAAUGGGCGAAAGCCUGACGGAGCAACGCCGCGUGAGUGAUGAAGGUCUUCGGAUCGUAAAACUCUGUUAUUAGGGAAGAACAUAUGUGUAAGUAACUGUGCACAUCUUGACGGUACCUAAUCAGAAAGCCACGGCUAACUACGUG